AACAGGAUUAGAUACCCUGGUAGUCCACGCCGUAAACGAUGUCGACUUGGAGGCUGUUUCCUUGAGAAGUGGCUUCCGGAGCUAACGCGUUAAGUCGACCGCCUGGGGAGUACGGCCGCAAGGUUAAAACUCAAAUGAAUUGACGGGGGCCCGCACAAGCGGUGGAGCAUGUGGUUUAAUUCGAUGCAACGCGAAGAACCUUACCUACUCUUGACAUCCAGAGAACUUUCCAGAGAUGGAUUGGUGCCUUCGGGAACUCUGAGACAGGUGCUGCAUGGCUGUCGUCAGCUCGUGUUGUGAAAUGUUGGGUUAAGUCCCGCAACGAGCGCAACCCUUAUCCUUUGUUGCCAGCGAUUCGGUCGGGAACUCAAAGGAGACUGCCGGUGAUAAACCGGAGGAAGGUGGGGAUGACGUCAAGUCAUCAUGGCCCUUACGAGUAGGGCUACACACGUGCUACAAUGGCGCAUACAAAGAGAAGCGACCUCGCGAGAGCAAGCGGACCUCAUAAAGUGCGUCGUAGUCCGGAUCGGAGUCUGCAACUCGACUCCGUGAAGUCGGAAUCGCUAGUAAUCGUGGAUCAGAAUGCCACGGUGAAUACGUUCCCGGGCCUUGUACACACCGCCCGUCACACCAUGGGAGUGGGUUGCAAAAGAAGUAGGUAGCUUAACCUUCGGGAGGGCGCUUACCACUUUGUGAUUCAUGACUGGGGUGAAGUCGUAACAAGGUAGC
rnacentral:rRNA from 1 species